rnacentral:rRNA from 1 species
GACGAACGCUGGCGGCGUGCUUAACACAUGCAAGUCGAACGGAGAGGCCCUGCUUUUGUGGGGUGCUCGAGUGGCGAACGGGUGAGUAACACGUGAGUAACCUGCCCUUGACUUUGGGAUAACUUCAGGAAACUGGGGCUAAUACCGGAUAGGAGCUCCUGCUGCAUGGUGGGGGUUGGAAAGUUUCGGCGGUUGGGGAUGGACUCGCGGCUUAUCAGCUUGUUGGUGGGGUAGUGGCUUACCAAGGCUUUGACGGGUAGCCGGCCUGAGAGGGUUACCGGCCACAUUGGGACUGAGAUACGGCCCAGACUCCUACGGGAGGCAGCAGUGGGGAAUAUUGCACAAUGGGCGGAAGCCUGAUGCAGCAACGCCGCGUGCGGGAUGACGGCCUUCGGGUUGUAAACCGCUUUCGCCUGUGACGAAGCGUGAGUGACGGUAAUGGGUAAAGAAGCACCGGCUAACUACGUG